GAUGAACGCUAGCGGGAGGCCUAACACAUGCAAGCCGAGCGGUAUUGUUUCUUCGGAAAUGAGAGAGCGGCGUACGGGUGCGUAACACGUGUGCAACCUGCCUUUAUCUGGGGGAUAGCCUUUCGAAAGGAAGAUUAAUACUCCAUAAUAUAUUGAACGGCAUCGUUUAAUAUUGAAAGCUCCGGCGGAUAGAGAUGGGCACGCGCAAGAUUAGCUAGUUGGUGAGGUAACGGCUCACCAAGGCGAUGAUCUUUAGGGGGCCUGAGAGGGUGAUCCCCCACACUGGUACUGGGACACGGACCAGACUCCUACGGGAGGCAGCAGUGAGGAAUAUUGGUCAAUGGGUGCAAGCCUGAACCAGCCAUCCCGCGUGAAGGACGACUGCCCUAUGGGUUGUAAACUUCUUUUGUAUAGGGAUAAACCUACCCUCGAGAGGGUAGCUGAAGGUGCUAUACGAAUAAGCACCGGCUAACUCCGUG
rnacentral:rRNA from 1 species